rnacentral:lncRNA from 1 species
AAAAAAAAAAAAAAAUCCUUUUCUCUUUCCUAGUAAAGACAUCCAGGCCUGUCUGCCACUUACUAGCUUGGUGAAUGCCUUUGCUGAUGAGUCCAAAUAUAUUGCUGUGCCUUUGCUGUCUUUUCUGUUUUCUAAAUGCCAGUGUGGAAUGUAAGAUAAGAGUGGAAUUAGAGAAAACUGAAAUGAAUUUUGAUCCUUUAUUAUAAGCAGACCCUACUUCUCUAAAUUUUGUGCCUAAGGAAAAAUUUAUAGGUUGUUCCCAUAAGGAGUAGAAAAAGGGUAGGGGUGGGAAGACAGAACCCUCUCUCCCAACUCCACUAAAGAUAGCAAAAAGAUUUUAGUAAGGUAACUUAAUUUCCCAGUUUCCUACAUAUGUUUUGAAUAAGGGGGACUUAGUGCCCAAUUCAUCAUUUUAAUUUAAAAGCUAUUUCAGAUGACUCUUGACAGCUGGUCUUUCUCUUCUUUUUAGUUGUUUUGCAGCCAGGUCCAUCAUUUGGAAAUCAGGAAGGCUUGUGUCUCAUAUAUGAGAGAAAAUCAACAAACUUUUGAGUCUUAUGUGGAGGGAUCUUUUGAGAAAUACCUGGAACGGUUGGGAGAUCCCAAGGUAAGAUCAAAUACGGGGUUUAAUCUUUUCAGAGUAUUUGGAAUAGUAAACCUAAAUAUUCAUUCAGCUGUGUCGCUUUAGCUAGACGCAACCUAUUUUCUUAAGUAGCCAGCUGUGUUGAAUCAAAUAGUUCUUGCAAAAGUUUAGAGGCUGGCAAUUGACCUAUUGUUUUGUGUUGAAAUGUUGAGAAUUAUGUGUCAAUGAUUUUAUCAUCCGUAGACUGUUUGCAAUGCAAACAGGACAAGCCUAAGCCUUUUCACUUUAAUGGGGGAGGAGGGAUAGUAAUGAAUGUUACUAGGAGGUCAUUAUUUUUUUAUUCAAAAAUUCCCCUGAUUUGUAGUUAUCCUUUUAUGUAGAAGUAAGCUCCAUAAACGCAUAUUUAAUUAAAAAUAAUUUAUAUGAUUAAUUCCAUAGUUCUGGACUUAGUAUUUACUAAGUACCCUGCUAAUUUCAUAUUUUUAACAUUAAUUCCAUUUUUAUUGUGCCUUUUAAAUCCCUCAUGUUAACUGUCCUUGUUAUUUAAUAGCUAACUGAGAAGGUCUUUAGAACUAUUUUUUCCAAAUAAGUUUAUGUUAAUGAGUAACACAGUAGCCCAAACCUCAAAGCAAGUUAUAGUGUGUUCUACAAAUUCUUCAUCUAAAACAGUGCUAAGCAUCUAAACUAACAGUGUUGAACUUGCAGAAACUUUUACAUCCUAGCUACAGAAUGUUUUUAAAAAGUGUAUGUACUAUUUAUGUUUAGGAAAGUGCUGGCCAGCUGGAAAUAAGAGCUCUUUCUCUAAUUUAUAAGUAAGUUAAAUCUUUUUUUAAAGACUGAGUGUGUAUGUGUGAUUGUGUGUAAAGUUUCUAUUCACGUCUCUUUGGGAUUUGGGAAAUUUGGAUUUAAUGUAAUGAUAUGUAGAAAGAAGAGGUCUAAGCACAAUUAAUUGGUGUUAAUUUUUAGGUGGAG